CUGCUUUAUGGAAAGAGUCACCAUGACCACUCCACUACUGAUGUUUGUACUUCUGGCUCUACCCUGCUACAGCGCAACUGGGCAAAUCAAUCGUUUUGGACUUCCAGUCUCUGCCCAUAGCAGGGAUUUCUAUGUCAGGUCUCCCGGAGAUAACUUCUGCGGCAAGGUGAAAUUUGUCAUUUCAGGGUUCACCUGCUGUGAAAGACAAUUGCAUAUGGGGGCUGAGCAGUCCUGCUGUGGAAACAGGUCCUUCUACCUCACCCAGGCUUCCUGUUGUGGUGGUCAGCUGACUCUGAAUGUGAGCCAGCUGGUGUCAGAUUGCUGUGGUUCUAGGGCCUAUGAUCCACUCAACCAGCUGUGCUGUGACUCUCAGAUCCUAAUCAGGACCCAACCCCAUUCCAAGUGUUGUGGAAAAGAGCUUUACAAUGAAGACAACCAGCUUUGCUGUGGAGAUGUCGUUAAAAGAAAGGUCCUGACCAAAAUGUCUGGUCACCACCGGUGCUGUGGAGACCACCAGUUUGACCAGCGAAGCCACUGCUGCUGCCACAUCACUGAACCAUCAUAUCAACUAAACCCUAAACCUCUCAAUGCAAGCUGCUGUGCUCCUGCCAUCCAGGAAGUGCUACAUACUAUUCCCCCAGCGCAAACUGGUCAGCACAUGGGAAUUGAUCAGAGUUCUCCAAAAUGUAUGCCUGGGGAGAAGCCUUGUGGUCAAUGUGCCUGCUUUAACCCAACAACAGAACGUUGCUGUGUGAACCCUACAUCUCUCCAGGGACAAAGUUACUCACAUGACCAGACCUGCUGUGAGGGAACACUCUGCCACACCCCAGAUAAGACAGCACAAGGUCACUACCAUGGUGCUAGCUUUGGCUCUCAGGUUUACAAUCCAGACAUCAACAUCUGCUGUUCCGGGAAGCUGUCCAAUAGGGUGCCUGGAAAGAACCUGUGCUGCGGUACAACUCCGUAUGGUGUAGAGGACCGAGGGGUGCUGUGCUGUAACCAGACCUUGCACCGUGUGGUGGAGGAUGGGUACCAGUGCUCCCCAGGUGGCUACUUGUAUCUGCCAUCCCGUGACAUGGUGUGUGGUUCACACGUUCAUCUCAACGAUCCAGGCAAACACUGCUGUGGAGAGGACACAUACGACCCUCAGUAUGAAAUCUGCUGCAACGGACACAAACACAACAGGUUGAGAAAUGUUUCCUGCUGCGGAGGGAAGGCCUAUUACCACAGCAGUGACCAGAUGAAGUGCUGUGCAGAGACUCUGUACAACCUGCAGGUUCAGGACAGACUCUCAGAGGAGGCCCAGUGCUGUGGGAGUGUCCUGAUGGAGAGUGUGUCCAUGAAGACGAAUGAGCGGUCCAUCGUGAUGGUGAACGCCAUGUACAUGCUGGCCUCGCGUGGCCAUGUCAACCCCCUGCCUUCCCCUCACUACGUCACAUUACCCGACCACUGCAGCUCCCCUGUAGUGGAGCCGGGCAACACUUACAUCUUGAUGAAAAUACCUUUCUCAGACACCAUAAGAUUCAUCUCUGAUCUCAGCGAUCAUUCCUCCCCUGUCCAUUCCAUCCUUUCCAGGUGCUGAACCUUUUUCUUGCCCAGAGUAAAGCCCUACAUAACGUUUGAAAGCUUUACAGUGUUUGUUUACAGUUACAUUGUUAACAAUCAAUGGCGUAAUAAAAAGCUUAUCUUGGGUUCUGAUGGGGUUCGACAGUUGAACUAAGAUCAUAAGGCACAAGUUAUAUUCUUCCAGAGUCAAUUGGUAUAUAUCGUUCAUUUAAAAGUCAAAAAAUUGCUGUUGCUAUCACAGAUUGCCUCUUUAAGCUAUCAGUAGACAUUUAAACCAUGUUUGUGAAGUGAUUGUAUCACAUUGUGCAAGGACAGGAUAAAAAGCCUAUUUUAACCAAGCAUUUGUGUGUAGGUGUAUGACUUCACCAUUCAUCAAUUCAUGUGGUUGUGUGGGGGUUUGUGGUUUUGUGGUUGCCUUUAUCCCAUCCACAUAUAUGUACCACAUUAUCUGACACUUGAUCACAGGAUCACAUUUUUGUUUUAUUAUUUCACUGCCAAUCUGUGUUUGAUCUUGUCUAGCCAUCUUGUAUCAAGAGGACCACAAAAGUCCUAGACUUUAUUGUGUGUUAUCCUCCAUGAUUAUAUUCAUGUGCAUCUAUGACUUUUAAGUUUUAUGUGUGCUUGUUUUUUUAAAUGGUCGAAUUAAUAAACUAAACUAAAUAAAGGGCACCUAGGGCACUGAGUCUUUGGCUGCGUUUAUGAGCAAAGUGAAAUUAUGAAUAAAAUAUUGUAAAACUGAUAUAUACUGAACAGAAAUAUAAACACAACAUGUAAAGUGUUGGUCCCAUGCCUUAUGAGCUGAAAUAAAAAAUCCCAGAAAUGUU
rnacentral:lncRNA from 1 species